rnacentral:rRNA from 1 species
GACGAACGCUGGCGGCGUGCUUAAUACAUGCAAGUCGAGCGAGGCCCCCUCCUUCGGGAGGGUGCCCUAGCGGCGAACGGGUGAGUAACACGUGGGCAACCCUGCCCUCAGCUCUGGGGAUAACCCCCGGGAACCGGGGCUAUACCGGAGUACGACCACAGCGGGCAUCCGCUUGUGGUGGAAAGAUUCAUCGGCUGAGGAUGGGCCCGCGGCCUAUCAGCUUGUUGGUGGGGUAA